UAACCAUCAAGUGCCAUAAGAUGGCGAUUUGCAAGCUCAUCACCUUCUUCAUCUUGAGAGUCGUCACUGUCACUCCAAGUUGCCAUCAUUAAUUUCUUCUUGAAGUUUCUUGAAGUGCUUUUCUUGUUGGUGCAUUCAAACUUGGUGUGUCUCAUCUUCUUGCAAUCAAAGCAUAUUAUAGACACCCAUUUUUAUCCCAUUCAUAUUUAUAUUUAUUUCUACUUUUAUCAUUUUGUUAUUUUUAUUUUAUUUUAUUCAUUAAACAUCAUUUUUUAUUUUAUUAUAUUUUUGUUUUUAUUUAUUUUAUAUGUUUUGUGGGAUCAUAUUGUGCUUGGAUUGAAAAUGGCAUCUGCCAUGAGCCUUUUGGGCUUUGAUGAGGUCCAGGUUUUGCUUGGAUACUUUCCAAUGUUCUAUAAGGCUUAAGUUUUGAAUCCAUUACCAAGCCUUCCUACAUGACCCAAAAACAAACUUAACAAAUUAAUUAAACUUAAUAUAGAUCAAACAACAUAAUUAAACUAAACUAAACUAAACAUGGAUUAAAACAAGAAAAUUCUUAAAAAAAAUUGAAGAAGCAUCAGGAGACUAACUAGCCAUACCAAUCGGCAAAAAACUGUAACAAGGCAAAAUGUCCUCUACUAAAGGCGAUUUCUCACACUUGGCAAAGGCCAGCAAAGCAACAAAUUGUGACAGUAAAGGGUGCCCAAGAAUGGCACCCUUUACUCCAUAUAAAUAGAACAGUGCACAAUUUUGAGAGGAAAGCUCUU
rnacentral:lncRNA from 1 species